rnacentral:rRNA from 1 species
ACGAACGCUGGCGGCGUGCUUAACACAUGCAAGUCGAACGCUGAAGACCUGGCUUUUGUUGGGUUGGAUGAGUGGCGAACGGGUGAGUAACACGUGAGUAACCUGUCCUCUUCUUUGGGAUAACGCCCGGAAACGGGUGCUAAUACUGGAUAUUCACUGAUCUUCGCAUGGGGGUUGGUGGAAAGGUUUGUUCUGGUGGGGGAUGGGCUCGCGGCCUAUCAGCUUGUUGGUGGGGUGAUGGCCUACCAAGGCUUUGACGGGUAGCCGGCCUGAGAGGGUGACCGGUCACAUUGGGACUGAGAUACGGCCCAGACUCCUACGGGAGGCAGCAGUGGGGAAUAUUGCACAAUGGGCGAAAGCCUGAUGCAGCGGCGCCGCGUGAGGGAUGGAGGCCUUCGGGUUGUAAACCUCUUUCGCUCAUGGUCAAGCCGCAACUAUGGGUUGUGGUGAGGGUAGUGGGUAAAGAAGCGCCGGCUAACUACGUG